CUUGGUCAUUUAGAGGAAGUAAAAGUCGUAACAAGGUUUCCGUAGGUGAACCUGCGGAAGGAUCAUUAUCAAAAAAGAAAACAGAUCUCUUCUUUUUCUUUUAGAGAUAUUUUACCAAUUUCCCUUGUGUAUUCACUCCAUGUUGCUUCCACUAGGCUGGCAUGUAUAUGUUUGAAUAUCUAUCAAUAUUCAAUAGUAUUUGUGUCCUUCAACCAUUUAAUCCUAGUGGUUGAGGAACUGUCAGUGGAUAGCCUUAAUUAUAAUAAAAACCUUUGUGAAAGCUAGUAUUGUCUGAUACAUCUCAUAAUAAAAACAAAACUUUCAACAACGGAUCUCUAGGCUCUUGUAUCGAUGAAGAACGCAGUGAAAUGUGAUAAGUAAUGUGAAUUGCAGAAUCUCGUGAAUCAUCGAAUCUUUGAACGCACAUUGCGCCCAGUGGUAUUCCAUUGGGCAUACCUGUUUGAGUGUCAGAAUCUUCAUACUGAUCAAACUUUUAUAUUUUACAUAUAAAGAUGUUUGGACUAAGAUUUGAGAAUAGUAUUAUCACAACAAGAUGAUACCUUCUUAAAAACAAGAAAUAAUUUGUUUGGAUUUCCUUCAAACCCAUUUUGUAUAUCAUAUAACAAAUGAGAAUGAAUGAAAAGCAACAUGUUAGAUGACCUCAAAUCAGGUAGGGAUACCCGCUGAACUUAAGCAUAUCAAAA
rnacentral:rRNA from 1 species